rnacentral:lncRNA from 1 species
UUGAAGCUGUUUAUGUGGAUUAGGACAUGAAAAUAUCAUAUGUAACGCUCAUACUAAACGUGUCUAGAAUAUUUGGCAUGUGUGUUAAAUCUGAUACUGGAUACAUUAAUUAUACAAUAUGGAAGUAUAACAUAAGUUGAGAUUCAGAGUACAAAGCAGUCUCAAGCUACAUGUUACAAUAAUUAUACAUAAUCAGUCGAAUGAACAAGAAACAUCGAGGUCCAUUACAACUAAUAUAUAAUACAUAACAUUAGCAAAAGGACACAAGCACUAAAAUCCAACAAGCACGAUCAAUCCGAAGCCUUCUCCUUACCUUUGCCCUGAGCAACUGUGAACCUGAUACUGUCUGAUAAUAUCCUUCAUAAUAUUUAUCGUUCAUGAACUUAUAUCUUCCGACUGAUCAAAUUCCAAUACUGACGAGUGGGAUGUUACAUCAUAUGCAUGUAGAGGAUAGGAUUUGUCUCUUAAUAUGCCUUUUAUUAUCUUCAUGGACAGUUUCAUUGCUCGAAUUCAACCUUUCUGAUGCCCGCAUGUUUUGGGAUGGGUGACUUCUAAAUUCUAAUCAGCUAGGUGUAGCAUUUGCCCCUCAUCAAUCUUGCUCUUUAUUUGCCGGCCAUUUGAAUUCAACUUUGUGAUACUUCUGUGUGUUUUGUUCUGUUUGUGUUGUUGUCUUGGUUAUAGAUGAUGACUUUAUUUUGCUUUCCUUGUUUUUGGCCAUUUUGUUGUGUUUCAAUAAUUCGCUAUUUUUUUUUUCCCUUUCUAAUCGAUCGUGAUUGGUGUUGUUGACCUCCUAAUAGAUGUUUCCCACAACUUGGCCCUUUUGGUCAACACUGGGACUACUCCUUAAGUCGGUAGUGGAGCAUCCAAUUAUUUUGAACGGAGUUGGACUGACUCCAAACAAGCAACUCCAGGAAUCAAACUCAUAUUCUUUUUCUAUAGAAGAACCAUGUUGCCACUUGCCAACCCCUCCCAAAAACUUUGGUAAUUGUUUGCUUUUUUCUCUCUUUCAUUUCUUAAGAGAGACUCUUCUGUUUCGUUGUUUGCUUCACUAUCGGGAUAGAGCCGUGUAUAUCUGGUAUCACGCAAAGUUUUUGUUUUAAAGGUUAAGAAAGUUGGGUGGAGCUUAUUUUACCUUAUAUUUUUGUUUUAUGCCGUAGCAAAAAUAUAUACACACUUGCUCUUUAUUUUACUUCAUGUACUGGCGAAGUAGUUUUAUACUCCCUCCAUCCCUAUAUCUAAGCAAUUUUUACAUUUGUCACAAUUCUUAAGAAAAGUUGUUAGUGCAAUUAUAAUAUGUCUAUUUUGUAUGUUAAUAUUACCAAAUUGUCUUUUUUUUCUGUUGAUAGUUCUAAAUUGGAUGAGAUAUGACCUAAAAAUGUGUUUAUAACUUAUAAGUGAGAGACAUCCCCCCACCUUAAAAACCGGUUUCGUAAUAUUGAAUUAGGUUCAACUCAAAUUUUAAGAGUUUCUAUUUUUUUUUUUUAAUGUUAACUGCAGAUACUGAAAACAAUUUGCUUUAAAAUACUCCUGAAACAUUUGACCCAAGGUGAGCUGUUUAUUCAUUUGUAAAUUGGGCAUUUUGGAUAACCAACUAAUGGUGCCUAAUAGAGUGGUAUAUCCUUGACAGGGAUGCCAUCAUCGCUUCCGUUCCAAGCUAUGAAUAGCCUUACAUCACAGUUCCAAAGGUUAUUUUAAUUAAAAAAAAAGGUUUAAAACAUAUUUUGUUCCCUUAAUUUAUUUUUGAAUUUUAAUUUGAUCCCCUAACUUUAAACUGUUUCAAUUUGGUCCCCUAAGUAUACCUCCGUCUGUGAAGACCCGAUACUUCAAAAUGGAUGAUGUACCGUAUCCCCUGCGUAUCCUGCACCGAUACCUGCCCGAUACUUCUCGAUACGUAUCAGGAGAGUAUCCAAAUAUUAAAUUUUUUUUUUUAAGAAAAUAAUUUUCCGAUACGCACGAAUACUUGUGUUUUUUAUAUUAUUUUGAUUUCUGUGUUUUUUCUUUUUGUAAAAAAUAAGAAUAAAAACAUUAUAUUACUAUGAUAUAUAUUCAUUUCCUUUAUCUUUAUUUGGUGUCAGUACGACUCACACCAUACCACAGAAACAAUUUCAUCUUCCCCUUUUUAAAAAAUUAGGGUUUCAACUUUUUCUUUCAAAAUGGUCGCUUUCCACUUUGGAUAUAGUGCUUCUUUUUUGGAUCGAUAUAGUAUAGCACUAACAAUGUUCCUUUUGGAUAUAGUAUAGCAUUGAUGUAUAACACUGCUCGUGCUCUUUUUUGUAUAUUUUGCGUAUGUAUUUGACUAAUCAUCACUCUCUUAAUCGUCAAUAUUAUUUAUAUUUAUGUUAAUGUGCUACGAGUCUAGUUUCUUGUGUUUGUUAAUAUAUUUGCAUAUUAAAAAAAAUAUGUUAUAAUUAUAUUAUACAUUUAAUUAUAUAAUUUUUUUUAUUAACGUAUCCCAGCUGUAUCGUAUCUUGAUUUUUGAAAUUUUCCCGUAUCGGUGCAGUAUCGUAUCCGUAUCAUAUCUCCUAUCAAGGCUUUACCGACCUCCGUUUACCCCAAGACCCAAGUGGUCCUUUCUGUUAGUAUUUUUCAAAAAACGUUAACUUUGUCGAUGUAGCCAACAUAGACAAAGUUAACGUUUUUUGACAAAAAUUAACAGAAAGGACCAGUUGGAUAAACGGAAGUAUACUUACAGGACCAAAUUGAAACAGUUUAAAGUUAGGGGACCAAAUUAAAAUUCAAAAAUAAGUUAAGGGACCAAAGUCAAAAAAAAAAAAAAAAACUCAUAGCGGCGUGGCAAAAUGGAUUGAUGGAUUUAAAUGUUGAUUCAUAAUUGUUUAUGGAUUUGUUUAUGAUGAUUCAUGAUGUUGCCGUCGACGAAUUUUGUAGGGAAUUAAUCAAUUGUUGCUUGUUGCUGAUUCAUAGAUUUGAUCUGUUGAAUGAAGAAUUGGAUUUUGGUUGAAUUGAAUUUUGAGGUUCCUGUGUUUGAAGAUUAAUAGAUAUAAUGAAGGUGUGUGAUGAUGUUGUUGAAGAUGAUGAAGGUCAUGAAGAAGAGAGAGAGAGGCAGGAGAAGAAAAGGAAAAAAGUUAUAUGUUUGUGGUUUACUAUUAGAAUCAAUAGACUUGUAUGAUCUAAGGGCCUGUUUUUUUUUCAAAACUAUCAAACCGUCAAGAUUAAAAAAACCUAUUUUUUUCUCAAAAAUAUCAAACGAUUAAUAUUAAAAAAUAUUAAUAAGAUGUAUAUUGUACCACAUAAAAUAUUGAUCAAUCUUAUACAUUUGAGGUUAAAGAAUAACAAAGAGGACUAAUUUGAUUGAAGGAAACAUUUUCGAGGGAUUAUACAACGUUUUACGAGUCAUGGGAUCAAAAUGAAAUCAAGAAAUUAGUUAGGGAAUCAAAUAAUUAAUUUAGUUAGGUGAGUAGAAUGGAUCAGUUAUACUCCUGAACUGAUAUUUUUUUUCCUUUUCGGUGGAUUUAGGCAAGAGAAGUGCCUGCUUUUUUUAUUUAAUAAAAUAUAUAUUUAAUAAUAUUAAAGUCUGAAUGAUUCGACAUGAGACCACUUAAGAUGCAACAUGGAAGUAUUCAAUAGGACAAGUUUUUGUUUUCCAUCACAAUGUCCCUCUCAAUGAAUUCGGUGUUUUAGUAAUCGAAAUUAAGAGUUUAUUAAAUGGUAAUCCGAACUAUGUAGUGUCGUUUAUUAGGAGGCAGAUAAUCAAAUAGGAUAGUUCAUAGUUUGCUAGAGUCAUCUUAUCUCAUCCUAGCCCCAUAUUUUUCAUGAGGAAUACUGUGUACCCCUUUAUUAUUAAUGAUAAGCUUAAAUAUGAAAAUUGUCCCUGCAAAUAUCUGAUAUUUUAGUUUUAGUCCCUGUAAAAAUAUUUUUUUGGUUUUAGUCCCUGCAAAUAUAAAAAAAUUGGUUUUGGUCCUUGGUAUUUUGUUUUAGUCCUUGUAAAAUUGAUUCAUAUUGGAUUUGGUCUUUGUAAUAUGUAGAAUAUUUGAUUUUAGUCCCUCAAAAUGAGGACUAAAAUGAAUAUUAUAGGGACCAAUUUCAAUAUGAAAUGAUUUUACAAGGAUCAAAACAAAAUACCAAGGACCAAAACCAAAUAUUCUAUAUUUGCAGGAACUAAAACCAAAAAAAUAUUUUUAUAGGAACUAAAUCCAAAAUGCCAGAUAUUUACAUGGACCAUAUUCAUAUUUAAGCCUUAAUGAUACAAUAAAUUUACUUUGGUUAAAAAAAUAGUUUUUUUCCAUUAUAAAAAUAUUAUUUAUAACUUAUUCCAAAGCGAGCCACUUAUUUGGUGGUUUCCUUUUAAUAAUUGCUCUCACUAACUUUUAAUAAUUAAAUGGUGUCAAGUAGAACCACCACCUCCAUGUUAAUUAUCUCCCUUGCCUUGUCAUCGAUGGAUUGGGGCUAUUUUAAGCAUAGUAUAAUGAAGAUGAGAUUUCAUAAAAAAAUUGAAACAGUGAACCAUUCAAUAAUGGUGAACCGAGAGCGAUGGAAAAUGUCGCUUUCGCCAUUGGUGUUCCUUCCGAUCUCUACGCAUUUCACCGCUCCACCGGAAAUUCCCUCUGCCCCUACCGUACUCUAGCUUAGUAGUUUUCACCACCUGUCCAGGGUUGAGCCCUGGGAUUUGACGGUGAACUUAAAAAGCCACCUACAGACGCUUUACGCCCAAUCAUUCCGGAUAACGCUUGCAUCCUCUGUCUUAUCGCACUUUGGAAAGAUCUUAAGCAAAAAGAUUUGCUGCCGUCCUACUUUUUUUGUAUUAUGUGUUGAGAGUCCUUCUUUGUUUAAUUCUCUUAUUAGUGAGUGCACACGUAGUCAAUCCCACGUGGUACAUAUUAAAAAAAUAUAUUUUUUUGACUCAUAAUUAGGGUUCUUCUCUUAUCCUUUCUUCCUAUUCUUCUUCUUCGAUUCCUUUCAUCCUUCAAAUUCCUUUCCUCCUCUUCCUGGAAAUUCCUUUCUUUCUUCCGUUUUGUUCAGUUUGUCGAUACCCUUUAUUCAUUCGUUUUUCAUUUGUUUUGAUUCAAACUAUCAUAACCUACCUUUUUCAAUCCAACCAAUGGGUAUGUCGUUGAUGGAAUCACCCUUGACAAUGCAUUGUAAAAGAAAAGGUGUUAAUACUGUUUUACCUCUGUAAUAUAGGUUAUUUUCGGGUUUACCUCCUGCAAAAAAAAUUGUUUUCGUCUUGUACAUUUUUUUUCAAAAUACCCUUCAAUAGGCCAUUCAAAAACCAAAAUUUCUGAAAUAAAAUAAUAUUUUUAAAAUGGCCUAUUAGAGGUGUAUUCUGAAGAAAAAAAUUACAAGAACGAAAACCAUUUUUUUUUUUAUAGGGAUAAAUCCGAAAAUAACCUAUAUUACAACGGGUAAAGCACUAUUAAUCCAUGAAAAAAAAUAUAGUGUGAAGGUAAACCCAUAAAAAAACCAUAAAGAUAAACACAAUAUUCAAACCUUACUAAUUAACUUCUCUUUGUACAAAUCUAAAGGUAGAAAUUCUAUCGAUGAUUUCAAUUAAAACCCAAAAACUCUCUCUGACCCCCUUUUGUGUGUUAUUCCAUCUUGUUUUUUUUGCUGGAGGUCGAACCCCGAACUUUAUAUAUAUUGUAAUGGUUCGAUUUUUAUUUAUUUAAAUGCUAAUUUGUGGUUGUGGUUGUUGUUUUUGUGACUACUAAAUUGUUUGUUCAUGGUGGUUGUUGUUGUUGAUUCAUGAAUUUAAUCAAUUUUAAUUUGGUUUGUUUGUUGUUGUUUAUAUGGAUUUAAUGAAUUCAUGGAUUUGAAUGUUGAUCAAUUUUUAUGUAUUUAAAUGUUGAUUGAAGAAUUGGAUUUUGGUUGAAUUGAAUUUUGAGAUUUCUGUGUUUGAAAGGUCAUGAAGAAGGGAAGCAGAAGAAGAAAAGGAAAAAAUUAUGAAUAUGUUCUUCACCCAGCACUUUUCACUCGCGCUCCACAGCUAUCUUAAAAAUGUCUUUGUGUUAGUUAACUAAUGCAAAUAUAAAAUUAUGCGUUAUUUAAUUAACGCAGCGUGACUUAAGUCACGCAAGUGUAAAGUUUUUACAUAUGUAUGUGCACAAACCUAUUGGGCAAUAAUAUGAGGUGUCGUGUUAUAACAAUGGGUGCACAUCAUACCACAUGAUAAAAAAUGCAUAACAAUGGGUGCACACCAUGCCACAUGCAUACCACAUGUUAUAACAGUGUUACCUGACAGGAAUAAACAUGUUCAUAGUGUCGCCUGAAAGCAUAAAUUAUGUUUAAGGCAAGAUGGAUGCAAUGCAUGCAUGAUGGAUGCAACGCCGUCACUAAAAAGAAAAUGGAGAAUUGAGGGGGAAAAACAAAAGAAUUAGCGUGACUUAACUCAGAUCGGAGUUAACUCACACGGGAUACGUCAGUUAAUGUGUAAAAAUUAAGUUUCGUUUUUUUAUAUUUGCGCUAAUUAACUAGCGCAUGGAUAUUUUGGGAAUGGUUGCAGGGCGCGAGCGAAAAGUGCAGGAUGGAGAGCAAAAUUCAAAAAGUAUAUGUUUGUGGUUUACUAUUAGAACCAAUGGACUUGUAUGUUCCAAGGACUUAUUUUCUCUCAAAACUAUCAAACAAAGGGUCAAGAUUAAAAACCUUUUUUUUUUUUUUUCUAAAAAUUAUUGAACGGUCAAGAUUCAAAAAAUUAAUAAGGUGUAUAGCGUAUCACAUAAAAUAUUAAUCUAUCUUAUGCAUUUGAGGUUUUUUUUUUUUAGGGGUAUUUGAGGUUAAAGACUAACGGAUUGGAUUAAUUUGAUUGACGAAAACAUUUUUUAAGGAUCAAAUCAGACGUUUUAUGAGUUAUGGAUCAAAAUGAAUUCAAUAAAUUAGUUAGUGGAUCAUAUUAUCAAUUUAGUUAGUACAAUAGAUCGAUUAUGCUCCAUUCCUAAAAAAAAAAAAAAAAACAAUCGGUUUUGCUCCUGAACCGGUAUCUUUUCCUUUUUGGUGGAUUGAGGCCACUUAGCACCUGUUUUUUUUUUUUUUUAUUGAAAAAAGAAUAUAUUUAUAAUAUUGCAGGCUCAAUAAUUUGACAUGGGACCACUUAACAAAUGCAACAUGGAAAUAUCCAAUAGGAUAAGUUUUUUUUUUCAUUAAAAAAGUUGUUUAUUUUUUAGAGGAAAUGACAAGUUGCUUGUGCCAUACUCAUGAUUAACUAUUAAAAGUUUCUUUAAUAAAAAUAACUAUUAAAAGAUGCAUUAAGAAAAACUCCCUUAACAAAAAUUAUUAAAAGGUAGCGAAAUUGAAGGAGCAAGUGGAGUACUUUUUUAUUAUAUUUAAUUUAAGUUGUUAUAUUUUUUUUAUUGGAAAAUGUUAAUCGGUGCUCUAAACACCGGUUAAUGAUAUUAAAAACAGAAAUUAUAUAGUAGUUAUUGCAUUGAAAAAAAUGUAUAAUCAAUUCAUAAAAAGUCAAAAAAAUCUUUUUUAGUAAUAACUUCCUUUUUUAGUAUCCUUAACUAGUGUUAAAGGGCGUCGGUUAGUACGACUCCUUUUUUAUUUAUCGUUACAUCACGUUUUCUUUAAGAUGUUUGAACUUUAAACAUUUCUUUUCAUCUAAAAAAAAAUCGAUAUCCGAUCCAAAAAUCGAUUAAUUCGAAAGAACCAAUUUUACCGUCUAUUUGCGGGUGUUCCAUUUGGACUUGACCAUCAAAUUAGACCUUAAGGGAAGCACAACUUCAAGAUCUCAAACCAACCAAAAUUCUUGCUUUCACGAGUCAAAUUUUACCAAAAUGUUUAUAAAUCAUAUAUUCUUUUUUCUAAUGCAUGAAGGAAACUGAGAAAACUUAUUACGUGAAAUAUUAUUGAUCAAUGUGUUUCAAACGAGUGUACAAUUCAAUUCAAAAAUUUCAAAGUAUCUUAAAGAAAAUCCGCAGUUAUAAUAUCUAUCCAUCUUAUAUAUUUGGGGUUAAAGACUAACGAAUUGGACUAAUUUGAUUGACAAAAACAUUUUUUAGGGACUAAAUCAUACGAUUUACGAGUUACAGGACCAAAAUGAAAUUAAAAAAUUAGUUGGGAACCAAAUAAUCAAUUUAGUUAGGCGAGUACAAUGGAUUGGUUAUGCUCCUGAAUCGAUAUCUUUUCCUUUUCCGUGGAUUGAGGCAAGCAUAGCGCUUGUUUUUUUAUUUAAAAAAUGAGCAAUAAUAUUUGUACAUCUAUUUAAUGACAACUUUGGUGAUAACUUUGAUGUUCUCUCUUUUGAUUGGUCAAAAACAAUGGAGAGAGAAAAAGGAAGAGAGAGAAUAACAACAUCAUGUGAGUAUGAGAGAGAAAAUUGUCAAAAAGUUGUAGCAAAAUGGAUGUACAAAUAUCAUUUCUCUUAAAAAAUAUAUAUUAAUAAUAUUGAUGGCUGAAUGAUUCGACAUGCCACCAAGUUUUUUUUUUUUCAUUAAAAAAAGUUGUUUAUAUUUUAGAGGAAUGAUAAGUUGCUUAUGCGAUACUCAUAAUUAACUAUUAAAAGAUUUUUAUCAUAAUUCCUUUGAAUUUAGCUCACUUGAUAAAAAAUAAUGCAUAAUAUAUACAGAGUCUGAGUUCAAACCUCAUAUACCUCACUUAUUCAUAUUUAAGAUGAAAUUCUUUAGCCGCUAAACUAUCUGACAAAAAAAAAUUAACUAUUAAAAGAUGGAUUAAAAAAUACCCCCUUAACAAAAAUUAUUAAAAGGUAGCGAAAUUGAAGCAGCAAGUGGAGUACUUUUUUUAUUAUAUUUUAGAUCUUAUAUUUUUUAUUUAUCAUUCCAUCGCGUUUUCUUGAAGAUGUUGAAAGGUCAUCGAUUUACCUCAGCCGUGUAUGAAAGGUGACUCAAUUUCAAUCAAAAUCUUCGAGAAUGAAGACACCAAGGGAGUUGAAGAAUGCAAAAGUAUCCUCUAUGGGAGGUUGAUUUUGAAGAAAGGAGAGAAAGCUCCAACAGCAAAGCAACUUCAUGAAACCUUGGUUCCUCUCUGGAAAAUCAAUAAUUGGAAGAUUUCUCCCAUGGGCAAAGGUUUCUUCGAAUUCGAAUUCUCAACUAUUGAGGAAAUGCGCUCCAUUUGGUCGACGGGCUCCUAGAAUCUCAAAUUUGGAAUUCUUCGCUUGUCGCAAUGGGUUCCUGACUUCUGCCCCGGCGCUCAGAAACAAACUAAUGCCCAGGUUUGGAUUCGUUUCUCUAAUCUCCCUCGUGAAUAUUGGAGAGAGAAAACUUUAAUUGAAAUUGCUUGUGUUGUUGGUAUGCGUAUAACUUUAGAUGAACCUACAAGACAUAGAGUAUUUGGUCACAUGCAAGGCAGCUUGUUGAUGUUGAUUUAUCAAAACCUCUUCAUAACUAUAUUUUAGUCGAGAGGGAAGGGUUUUCAUUUCAUGUUGGUGUUGUCUAUGAAAAACAUCCUGAAUUUUGUAAUAACUGUCACACUUUAGAUCAUCACAUAUCUCAAUGUAACAAGUUGAAGCAUGGAAAAAUGGUUGCAAGUAAUAAGCAGGAUAAACCUAAAGCACAAGAGGUUGUGAUAACAAAAAAAUUCACUAAUUAGGGUGAGAAAAAUCCUAAAAUUGUUGCUUCCCCUUUGCCUUCUUUAGUAGCAAAUGCAAAAAUUUUAGAUACAAACAUCGAUAGUCUUGCCACUAAAAAUCAUGAUGUUGAUCUCAUUCCCAUUGUGGAGUUAGAUGGCAACACUAUUCUACCAGAUUCCCCAUCAGAUCAAAGCAAGAUUGAUAACAUUCGUGAAGAAGCAUCUGAUGCAAAUCUCUGCCGUGUAGAGUUAAACAAGGAUGUGGUACCGAUAGAUAAUGCUCAAGAAGAUCUAGGUAGGGCCAGAGUGGCGACGACUCUAACUUGUCACAUUUUAGUGAAAAUUUUAUUCAUGACAUGCAAGUUUUAGGGCUGGUUCCUACUGUGGCUUAACAAACUAUGGAUUUUCUGAGUGAUUCAUGGGCUAACAUGGGUCAGAAGGAAGAUUUUGUUAAUUCAGACUCAAAUCAACAAUUUCAGUUGGUGGUUCCAAAGAAAAAGAAAAAGAAAUUAAAGCAGCACUUUGAAACUAGCAAAGGGUUUAAGGUUGGGGCUUCCAGUCGUUCGCCUCGCUAGCAUUAUGGUUUAAUGUUGCUCCACUAGCUCCUUGUUGGUUUAUCUGUUUUGCUUUUUUUUUUUUCUUUUCUUUUAUCCUUGAGGGUUUUGGUUUAUGUCCCCCCUCUCUUUUGUACUUUUUUUCUAUCUAUAUAUUUCAAGGUGCUGCAGUUCGAGAUCCCUCUGCACCCUUUCUUUUGCUUAAAAAAAAAAUUAAUUAAUUUUUUUUUUAAAAUUUAGUAUCCGAUUUAAAAACCGACUAAUCUAGAAUAAUAAAUUGCACCUUCUAUUUGCAUGUGUUUUAUUGUUGGAAUUAGCAGUAAAUUUGGAAUCAAGUCAGCACUGGUUUAUCAGCUAGAAAUUAGUGUUGACUAUUAGUAUUAAUUGUUGUAAAUAAUAUUUGUUAUCUUGUAAAUUAUUAGGGGAGAUAUGAUUAUAAUUCUAUCAUUUAUAAUAUGAUUGCCUUCUCAAUAUGGCAUCAGAGCGGGUUGACAAAAACAUAAGUGAGAAGAAUGAGAAGGUGGAUGAUCAAUCUAAGAAGGAGGGUGUUGAUCAACAAGGGAAAAUCUCACCAUAUUAUCUCUCUAACUAUGAUAAUUCAGGAAAUAUUAUCACACAGGUUCAACUUAGAGGUGAUAAUUAUGAUGAAUGGGCUCGAGCCUUGAAAACAACUCUGCGUGCCAAGAAGAAAUUUAGUUUCAUCGAUGGCUCUUUUAUGCAACCAUCUGAUGAUUCUGAAGAUCAUGAAGAUUGGUGGAUCGUCAAUUCCAUGCUUGUUUCAUGGAUCUUGAAUAUGAUCAAACCCAGCUUGUGCUCAACUAUAUCGUACAUGGAGGUAGCAAAACACCUCUGGGACGACAUAAAAGAGCGAUUCUUGGUGGGGAAUGGACCACACAUUCAGGAACUCAAAUCAGAAUUGGCUGAUUGCAAGCAGAGGGGCAUGACAGUUGUAAGUUAUUACGGAAAACUCAAGAUGAUUUGGGAAGAAUUGAGAAACUAUGAACAAUAUCCAACAUGUAAAUGUAGCGGAUGCACAUGCAACAUCAGUGCAGAGCUGGAUAAGAAGAGAGAAGAAGAGAAGCUCCAUCAAUUUUUGAUGGGUCUUGAAGACUCGACAUAUGGCACAAUCCGAACAAACAUCUUAAGCACUGAACCAUUGCCGACCCUAAACAGAGCGUAUGCUAUGGUGAUUCAAGAAGAACGUGUUCAAACCAUAACUAGGACAAAAGAAGAGAAGAAUGAACAUGUCGCUUUUGCUGUUCGAGUUGGAAAAGGUCGAAGCGAAAGCAAGGAAAAAAUGUUUUGUACUCCAAGGCAGGUCAUGAUGCUGAUUCGUGCUUCCAAUUGAUCAGGUACCCAGAGUGGUGGGGGGGAUCGAGGACGAACCAGCGGGCGUGGAGCAGGUCGUGGGUGAGGCUGACAGCAACAAGGAUUAUUUAUAGGAGGAAGAGGGUGCGGAGGACAUAUCAAAGCCAACGAAGUGCAGAUCGGAAAAAAAAUCCAAGGGAGAACAACCAGUUGAUGCUGACAAGGGAGAUAUCAAUGGGCUCAGCAACGAACAAUGAAACAUGUUGCUCAAUCUUUUGAGCUCUCAAAAAGAUGGAAAUCAAGGAAGGCUGAGCGGUAAGCAUAAGAUUGUAGAGUGGAUAAUUGACACAGGGGCUUCUCAUCAUAUGACAUGAAUUUUUGAAUCAAUGAGUGACGUGAAAAAGAUCAUGCCAUGCUAUGUUGGCUUACCAAAUGGAAUAAAUGCAUUGACAGAAAAGGAAGGAACAAUAGUGCUUGAUGGUCACUUGAGAUUAAUUAAUGUUUUAUAUGUGCCAGACUUGAAUUACAAUUUGAUUUCUGUAUCACAAUUAAUAGAGGAAUCAAACUGCAUUGUCCAAUUCACUAACAGAUUUUGUGUUAUACAGGACCAUACCUCGAGGAUGCUGAUUGGAGCAGGUGAGCAACGUGAGGGGCUAUAUUACUUUUGUGGCAUACCAUUAUCGAAAGUGUUGAAGGUUGUUGAGAAAGGGAGCACAGUUCUUUGGCAUCAAAGGUUGGGACAUCCUUCUCAUAAAGUUGUUACAAUGUUACCUUUUGCUAGUACUAAGGGAAAAGACAUAGAAUUUAUUAAGGCUAUGAUGUAUGCUUCCGAGCAAAACAAUGUCGCGAAGAGUUUAUUUUAAGUAAUAAUAAAGCAUCUGAUAUUUUCGAUUUAAUUCAUUGUGAUUUAUGGGGACCGUAUAGAACUACGGCUCUAUGUGGUGCACAUUAUUUUUUGACAAUUGUGGAUGAUUUUUCUAGAGGAGUUUGGAUUUAUUUGCUAAAUGAUAAAACAGAAGUGGCACAAACUCUGCGUAAUUUUCUUGCUAUGGUUCAAAGACAAUUCGGAAAACUUGUGAAGAUAAUUCGUAGUGAUAAUGGGAAUGAGUUCACUUGUCUAGGUGCUCACUUGGCUGAAAAUGGAAUAAUACAUCAGAUCUCGUGUGUCGAAACCUCUCAACAAAAUGGGAGAGUAGAACGGAAGCAUCGUCACAUACUUAAUGUUGGCCGUGCAUUGCAUUUUCAAGCUAAUUUACCCAUUGAGUUUUGGGUAGAAUGUGUAUUAACAGCAGGGUACUUGAUUAAUCGAACUCCGAGCACUUUGUUAGGAGGGAAAACGCCUUAUGAAGCUUUGUAUGGGCAACCUUCCUCAUAUGCAAAUGUUUGAGUUUUUGGUUGUUUGUCCUAUGCUCAUAAUCAUGGACAUGGAGGGGAAAAAUUUGCAAGUAGAAGUAGACGAAGUGUCUUUAUUGGUUAUCCCUAUGGAAAGAAAGGUUGGCGUUUGUAUGAUUUGGAGUCUAGAAAGAUUUUUGUCUCAAGGGAUGUUACAUUUUUAGAACAUGAGUUUCCGUAUAUGCAUAAAAAAGUCAAUGAACGAGGUAAGGAGGAAAAUGUACUCUUCAAUGAUACUGGUGUGGAAGAUGAGAUAAUGGAAUCAUGUGUUAAUGAAUCUUUUGUUUUGACUAGAAAAACAAGUGAUGAGAUUGAACAUGGUGAGUUCCUUGAUGACAUUGGAGCAGAUUCAGGAAAUGGUGAUGGUGUAGAUAAUGAAUUACAAGAGAAUUUAGAAGAAUAAAGGAACAUCGGUGUCAUUGAAGAUGGUCAAGAACAAUUGAUGGUUCAAUUAGGGCGUGGUCAUAGGCAACGACAACCGUCCACAAGAUUGAGAGAUCAUGUUAUUCAUAUUGUACAACUAUUGAGCCUUGCAGAAAGCCCCUUUAAUAGCUCACCUAUCCAAACAUGUUCCUUAGGUAGUCCUUAUCCUAUAAAACGUUAUGUGAAUUGUGAUAAAUUUUCUUUGCAACAUUGUGCAUUUUUGGCAGCUGUUACUGCAGGAAGUGAGCCAAAGUCUUUUGUUGAGGCUAUGAAAGAUAGCAUGUGGAGGGAUGCAAUGAAGAAAGAGAUGCAGACAUUAGAAGAUAAUGAAACAUGGACUCUAGAACCACUACCACCAGGAAAAUGAGUCAUCAGUUGUAGGUGGGUGUACAAGAUCAAAUACAAUGCAAAUGGGACAAUUGAGCGCUACAAGGCACGUUUGGUUAUCCUUGGGAACAAGCAACUUGAGGGGAUUGACUAUAAUGAAACGUUUGCUCCAGUCGUGAAAAUGGUCACGGUGCGUACCUUUCUUGCUGUGGCAGCAGCUCGAAAUUGGGAAAAUUCAUCAGAUGGAUGUUCAUAAUGCAUUCUCACACGGUGACUUAGCGGAAGAAGUUUACAUGUGUCUGCCUCCUGGCUUUGGCACAGGAAAGUCAGGGAUGGUUUGUCGCUUGAAGAAAUCGUUGUAUGGUCUAAAACAGGCGCCAAGGUGUUGGUUUGCAAAGUUGAUGGCAGCAUUGAAAACAUACGCAUUCAAACAAUCUUACUCGGAUUACUCCCUUUUCACCUUUCUCCAAGGUAAUGUGCAGAUCUAUGUACUUGUCUAUGUCGAUGACCUCAUUGUUUCCGGUAAUGAUCACAGAACCAUUCAACUUUUCAAGAGAUAUUUGAGUGAUUGUUUUCAUAUGAAAGACUUAGGGGCGUUGAAGUAUUUUUUGGGCAUAGAAGUGGCUCGAAGUCCUGAAGGGAUUUUCUUGUGUCAACGUAAGUAUGCUUUGGACAUUGUUUAUGAGGCUGGUUUACUUGGAGCGAAGCCUGCCUCAUUCCCGAUGGAGCAAAAUCAUAAUCUAGCUCUAGCUGAAGGACCUUUUCUUCCUGAUCCUGAGUGUUAUAGGCAUCUGGUGGGAAGACUUAUCUAUCUCACAGCAACACGUCCAGAGUUAUCCUACUGUGUGCAUAUUCUCGCACAAUUUAUGCAGCAACCACGAGAGCCUCAUUGGGAGGCCGCAUUGCGUGUGGUUCACUACUUAAAAGGUAAUCCAGGGAAAGGAAUACUGUUGAGGUCAGAUAGUGAUUUACAGAUGUAUGCUUGGUGUGAUUCAGAUUGGGGGAGUUGUCCUUUGACUCGCAAGUCUCUUUCUGGAUGGUUCAUUCAACUUGGAAAUUCACCUAUAUCAUGGAAAACUAAGAAACAACAUACGGUUUCUCGUUCCUCGGCCGAGGCAGAGUAUCGAUCGAUGGCUGUCACCACAUGUGAGUUGAAGUGGUUGAAAGAAUUGUUGGUAGCACUCGGCAUACAAUACCCAAAUCCGAUAAGACUUUGUUGUGACAGUCAAGCAGCCUUACAUAUUGCUGUAAAACCCGUGUUUCACCGGCGGACUAAACAUAUUGAAAUAUACUGUCAUUUUGUUCGGGAUGAGAUUCAAAAAGAAUGUAUUCGCCCAACAUAUGUCACAACAAAAACUCAGGUGGCCGACAUCUUCACAAAGGCACUGGACAGGCGACAAUUUGAAUGCUUACUCAGCAAGUUGGGCAUUAGCAACCUACAUGCUCCAACGAGGGGGGAUGUUGGAAUUAGCAGUAAAUUUGGAAUCAAGUAGCACUGGUAUAUUAAUAUUAAUUGUUGUAAAUAAUAUUUGUUAUCUUGUAAAUUAUUAGGGGAGAUAUGAUUAUAAUUCUGUCAUUUAUAGGCAGAUAUGUACUGUGUAUAUAUAGACUCUCAAAUAAUGAAUAAAAUCAUCAUCUAAUUUGCCUUCUCAAUAUUUAUUUGGAUCUGACCAUCAAAUUGGCAUAAAAGAGAAUCAAAUCUUAAACCUUAAGAGAAACACAACUCUAAGAUCUUAAACCAACCAAAAUUCAUGCUUUCACAAGUCAAAUUUACCAAAAUGUUUCUAAAUCGUGUAUUCUUUUUUCUAAUGCAUGAAAGAAACUGAGAAAAUUUAUUACGUAAAAUAUUAUUAUUGAUCGACAUGUUUCAAAUGAGUGUACAAUUCAAUUCAAAAACUUCAAAGUAUAAUAAAGAAUAUUCGCAGUUAUCUCUAUUACAUCUUCUUUGCAUGAACUCGUGAGAAUGAAUCUAACCUAAAGUUUAAUCUAUAUACACAUUUUUCAAAAUUUAUUUGUGCAAUCAUCGUGAUGUUAUCUUUAUCUUUUUCAAAAUUUGCAGCAUUUCCUAACAAAAGAUCUCACGUUAAUAAAACGUGUGUUAAAGUGUUUACUUCAGUUCACCUAAACAUAUUUUUAUUUAACUAAAAUUUUAUGAAAACGUUGAAAAAAGCAUCCAAACAUGAAAUCAUAUCAUAUGGGUACAACGGGAAAUAGGAAAUACAAUGAAGGAUAUAUUUGUAAAUACAUUUGGAGAGAUGGACUAUAAAUAAACUUCAACCCAUUCCCUCUUCUCAUCACUUAAUCAUUCCAUUUUUCUUCACAAGUCUACAUACUUAAAUUAGGUUAUGUCCCUUACUAAUCUUAGUAGUACAUCAUUUUUGUGUUACUACUAUUUAUUUUUAAUUAUUUGAUGUUUUAUAACACAUCAUUUUCAACAACUAAUAAAAAAAAAAAAAAAAAAAAAUUGUCCAAAUUUGUUUGGAGUGAAUAAUUUAAUUUUGUGAUUUGGGCAUGCAGGUGUUAUAAAUUUGAAGUUAAGGUGCAAUGGGUUAUGAGAAGCUUGACGUGAAGAUUGUGGUGGUUGGUCAUGUGGAUUCUGAGAAAUCAACCAACAGUACUGAGGAACCCAACAAGGCUGUUGUUGUGGAGGAGAACCAAGCUGAUGAGAUGAAUUAAUGUUAUAUGAGGUCCUUUAAUGAUCUCAGUGUGCAAAAAAGGGUACUAGAAAAUUAGUAAUGUUGAAAGAAAUAAAUAAUCUGGUACCCCUUAGUCUAUUUCUUUGUUAUGUUAUGUUAUGUUCAUUGAGAUGAGAGUUAUGGUGAAGACUGAAGAGUACUCUUCUGAUCUUGUAUCACUUUCACUCAAAGUUAAUUAAAUGCAUGUCUGUUAAUUUUUCUCUUAUGCUAAUUAAGAAGUGGUUCUCUUUAUUAUUAUUAUUAUUUAUUUUUUUAUUAAAGGGGAGGGUGUCCAAAUAAAGUUUCAAAGCACAUACAACAUCUGAGAAUUUUGACAACAUAAAACUUCAAUACAACUUAAAUACUCUAGUACCAAAGAAAGGAGUAUAUUGAAGAGGAAUACCAUAAUACACUUAAUCUCUUCACCAAAAUAUCAGUUUCAAAACUUUGUUUUGGUCAACAAAAAAACAAAAAAAAUCAAAACCCUUCACUUAAUAAGCAUGACAUUUAUUCUUCACUUAUUGAAAUUUAAACCUUUGUAAUUUUAGUUUUUGUUGGGUUAACAACCUAAUUAAUAGCAAGCUACCAUGGGAGACAUGUUUUCUAUUCAUUUCAAAACCCUUCUUCUAUUCCACAAUUUUAUUUUUCCUGUCUCCUCUUUCCCACCCUCUCUCUCUUUUUUCCUACCAGGACUAGGAAAAUAGCCGUGUGAUGCUAAGUGUUAAUAAAAUAUAGCAUGAAUAAUAUAUUCAAGACUUAAAACAAUGAAUAUGGGUUUGUUUCAGAAGGAUAAUUUAACGACUUUAAGAUAUGACUUCAAGAUAAUAUGCAUCAAACAUAUGAUAGGAUUAAAUAAUGAUAUAUAUAUAUUUUUUUUAUCAUGUGUUAACCAAACAUGAGAUAUGAUAAGUGUUUAUAAUAUUACUAUCAUAUCUUAUCAAUAUCAAACUCUUUAUCUUAUCAUAUCUCUACCACAUCAUAUCCUAUCCUUAUCAAACAAUUUAACUUAUUAUUUCUCUAUUAUAUCUUGCACAUUAAACCAGUCUGAAUGUCUCUCUGAAACGACAUGAUAUGACAAUAAUUUGAAAUUUUGAUAGUCUCUUGUUGCUUUUAAGAUAAGCAUAAAAUCUUUAAAGCUGUGAUAUUAAAUUUUUUAAAAAAACUAAAUGAAGUGCUUUCUUUAUUUAAGGGUUAAAUUACCAUUUCGGAAAUUUAAAAGACUAAAUUGUUAAAAAUUUACGGUUGGUCCAAGUGAUAAGUAAUUUUGGAACAUUUUACCAUAAAAAUUAUAACCUUUUUCAAAAUCACACCCUUCCACCCCCAGCAUGUGUUUCCAGACUUGAAAAUGGUUGAUAAGUUUUUCAGAAUUUUAAUCUUUUUUUCACUUAAAGAAGAUUUCGAACGGCGGUAGCAGUGUUGUUGGUAAUGGAAAGAAGAAAAUGGAACUGCUUUUCAUAGCUAGAGUUACUUUAGGUUAUGGUGAUGAUGAUAAUGAUCUGUUGUAAUUCAUUAUUAAUUAGUCAGAAAUCAAAUUGAAAAGAUCUAACGGUUUGUCUUAUUGGGAAGGUUGUUUCCGAUUUUUCACGUUGGGGAUGUGCUAUGAAUAUACAUGAACACAUACCGCUCACAAUUCAAAACUUGCCAACCAUUUUCAAGUCUGGAAACACAUGAUGGGGUGGAAGGGUGUGAUUUUAAAAAGGUUAAAAUUAGUAUUUUUUUUUAUGGUUUGUAAGGGUAUAUAAUUGUUGGGGUGUGGGGUAAAAUGUUCGUAAUUUUGCAUCCUUUAACCAAGUGGUCUGGGUUCAAUCCCUUUCUCUUGUGGAAGAAAAUUUGAUUGAAGGCCUUAUGUGUCCAACAGAUUAUUCUGAUGAAAAUUAUUCAAUUGUGAGCGGAGAACUCACAUUAUGCAUUAAAGAGGUUUUUCGAUGGAGAUUAAUCGCCUUUAAACAACGAUGUCAGUCAAAAGUUUUUUUAUUAUUACAAUUUUUAAGACAAAAAUAAUGAUUUACUAAUUACAUAUUUCAUUCAACUUUUUUCUUUACAUACUGCCUCAUGUUAUGGAAAAUUUGCUCUUUUAACCCCCUUAGUUGCUCACACGACCCCAAAUAUAUGUUUUUUUUUUCAAGAACAAAGUGUUAGCAAGUUACAAACAGAAAUAUUUGAGUGAGAACUCUCAUUCAGUUUAAAAGUUUCUGUUUUUGUAUAAUUAUGACAUGAUGUUGAUGAAACCACUUGAUAAUAGUGUAGAGAAUCUAGAACGAGUUUCUUAAAAAGUUACGUUUUUUUGUAUCUUAAAAAAUGACCAUUAGAGACGUUAUAUGUCGAAUUGAUUCCAUGCACCUCUACAAGAUACAUAUACCAUUUAGCAAUGAUUGUGCCAAAAAUAAAGAUACUAUUUUGCAACGAAGAUGUUACAAACUAUAGAUAACCAUUCGCAGUGGAAUGUUUAGUAUCCAUUUGUAUAUACUAAUGUUUCACUUAUUAAUUGAUUUUUAGUUUCGCGUAGAGGAACGUUGAAGAAAUUUAAAUGAGGAAGUUUCGAGUUUGAUCCCUGAACUCAGACGUAGAUUAUUCUUCUUGUGACUAAUAUUACAAACUCAAAUAGGCAACCGAAUAAAAUAGAAGAAAGAUGAAAACAAGAAACCAAGCUUUAAGAGAUGCAAUAUACAGUUUAUUACAAUAUAUAGGAGUUUCUCUUUGAUUUCUAUUAUAGACUAUGUAACUUGCUUAGCAAGCUACUUGAGUUCAAGUGCUAUUCUACUAGUUAGUACACAAUAGUUAGCAUAGGCUUCCUAUUUUGUGUAUAUACAUGUUGUACUGAACCUUUCCAAUUAAUGAAACAAUGAGUAUUCAUUCAUUUCUCUCAAUUCAUAAUACAAUUUUUUAACUCAUAAGUAUAGCUUAUUAAAGUAUUAACAAAUGAAACUAUAAGUAAUUAACUUGCAUGCACCGUUCAUUCUAAAUAAACUAACUAAAACUAAAGAGCAGUGCAGUAAAAAAUCUGAAAACUAUGUUAUGGGUUUGGGUUUUUUCAUUUUCUGCCAUAUUUGAAGCACCACAUGAUCUUGCAAUUACAGAUUUGAGAUUUAGUGUUCUUUUAAAUUAGGAUUUUUUUUAGGUUUCACAUGUUACUUAGAGUUCACAAAUGGCAAGAACCUUAAAGGCCUUCGCAACAUCUCAAUAACUCUCAGCUCAGCAAUGUAGUUUAUUUUAUCUAGGAUGUAAGCUUUAGGUGCUUCGCGACAAUAUGCGAAAUUAAUGAAUAAAUUUCUAUCCUUAGCGAACUUUGUUUAAAAUUCCUGUUCAGUUCAGGAACUGUACGAAAAGCUUCAGUUUUUUUAUAGUGCUAAUUCGAUUCAGUUUAGCAGUUCAGUUCAGAUUUUUGGUGUUUUUGAAUAGCCCUAGUUUGAUUGUGUAGCAUUCAUUCGUGAACUAAAAAUGCAUGGUUAUUCUAUUUAGUAUUCAAGGGGGAGCCUUGGCGCAACGGUAAAGUUGUUGUCACGUGACUGAAUGGACACACUCACAGGUUUAAGUCUUGGAAACAACCUCUUAUGUGAAAAACAGGGUAAGACGGCAUACAAUACACCAAAUUGGUGGGACCUCUUCCCAGACCCUAUGUAUGCGAGAGCUUUAGUGCAUUGGUUUGCCAUUUUUUUUAGUCUAUUUAGGAUUCACAGAGAAAUGUUGGUGCUAUUGUUGUAUUACACAAAUAGCAAAUCCAUGCUUAGCAAAUGCUCCAUAUUAUGUGCUUUCUGCUUGUUGCUUUCCUAUACUUCACCUUGGUCAUCCAAGUUUGUUUGAAUAUUUUAUUUUAUACAAAGAAGCAAAAAAAAUUUCUUUCUGUUUUUUGACAAAGGAGCAAAUUUUCUAGGCUGCUUGACUUUCCACUUUACUUUAUCAUAAACAACAAAGAGAGAAGAGAGGAGGAGGGUAGAUAAGUAUCAUGCCUUUACAGAACAAUUCCGCCAUUUAAUAUACUAAGUGAUUCUCAAUUGAUAUGCCUCUGCUCUUGAUUUUUAUUCAAUGAAACGUUUUUUUUUAAAUGAGUGGUAGAAAACAUUGUUGCUUCUUGGUUUGGCUUUGCUUUAUGUUUUUAGUUUCCAAUUUUUUCCAUGUUAUCUGCAGAUACGAAAACAAUUUGCGCGACAAUACUCCUAAAACAUUUGAUCAACGGUGAGUUGUUUAUUCAUUAUUUGUUAAUCAGGUAUAUUGAAUAACCGAUGAAUGGUGCCUGAUAGAUUGGUAUAUCCUUGACAAGGAUGCUAUCCUCGCUUCUAUUCCAAGCUAUGAGGAGCCUUACAUUAAAGUUCCAGAAGUCGUAAAUGUGGACUAUUGUCUUGUACCUUGAAUUUCUUGGUUCUUUAUAUGAAACCAUCUCUUAUUUUGAAUUUUCAUGAUGGAAAUCAGGUCAUGGACUCUACACUUGGACAAAUUUUGAAAUCUUCAUCAUCAUAAUUUGACAAUUAUUUAACGUGCUUGAUAAUAUAUUUGUAUAUAUGGAUACGAGAUUUAUCACGAAAAUUCAAUAGUUCUGCUGAGACUUUCUUCAAGGUAAUUUUAUGCUUGUUGUGUCGAUAUUGGAGAUGCUCGGUAUUGAAGCUGUUUAUGUGGAUUAGGACAUGAAAAUAUCAUAUGCAUGUAGAGGAUAGGAUUUGUCUCUUAAUAUACCUUUUAUUAUCUUCAUGGACAGU